rnacentral:rRNA from 1 species
UGGCGGCGUGCUUAACACAUGCAAGUCGAACGAUGACGAUGGUGCUUGCACCGUCUGAUUAGUGGCGAACGGGUGAGUAACACGUGAGUAACCUGCCCUCCUCUUCGGGAUAACCGCCGGAAACGGUGGCUAAUACCGGAUAUGAAUGCCUGCCGCAUGGUGGGUGUUGGAAAGAUUUAUCGGUGGGGGAUGGACUCGCGGCCUAUCAGUUUGUUGGUGAGGUAAUGGCUCACCAAGGCGAUGACGGGUAGCCGGCCUGAGAGGGCGACCGGCCACACUGGGACUGAGACACGGCCCAGACUCCUACGGGAGGCAGCAGUGGGGAAUAUUGCACAAUGGGCGAAAGCCUGAUGCAGCGACGCCGCGUGGGGGAUGACGGCCUUCGGGUUGUAAACCUCUUUCAGCAGGGAAGAAGCGAGAGUGACGGUACCUGCAGAAGAAGCGCCGGCUAACUACGUGCCAGCCGCCGC